AUUCAAAUAUCUUAUGCAGAGUAUAACAUUGAAGCUGUUAGUGAGAUAAAUUUAUCUUUGAAUA
rnacentral:tRNA from 1 species